UGAAUACGAGAUGCUACGGCGUCGAAGCAGUGUAUGUCAGACUUCCAAGAAAAGCUCGCAAUGUCAUAAAUAAAGAAUGCCUGUACCAUAACCGACACAGGUGGGUAGGUAGAGUAUACUAAGGGGCGCGAGAUAACUCUCUCUAAGGAACUCGGCAAAAUAACUCCGUAACUUCGGGAGAAGGAGUGCCUUCUUUAAGAAGGUUGCAAUAACAAGAUCCAAGCAACUGUUUAUCAAAAACACAGGUCUCCGCUAAGUCGUAAGACGAUGUAUGGGGGCUGACGCCUGCCCAGUGCCAGAAGGUUAAAGAAGUUGGUUAGCUUUUGCGAAGCUGAUGACUGAAGCCCUGGUGAACGGCGGCCGUAACAAUAACGGUCCUAAGGUAGCGAAAUUCCUUGUCGGGUAAGUUCCGACCCGCACGAAAGGCGUAAUGAUUUGGAUACUGUCUCGGAGAGGGACUCGGUGAAAUAGACUUGUCUGUGAAGAUGCGGACUACCUGCACCAGGACAGAAAGACCCUAUGAAGCUUUACUGUAACUUGAAAUUGAAAUUGGACUUUAUUUGCGCAGUAUAGGUGGAAGGCGUUGAAAGUAAUCUUGCGGGAUUAGUGGAGCCAUCAGUGAGAUACCACUCCUAUAAUGUUAGAUUUCUAACUUUGGAUCAUGAUCUGGUCAAAGAACAGUUUCAGGCGGGCAGUUUGACUGGGGCGGUCGCCUCCCAAAUGGUAACGGAGGCGUACAAAGGUUUCCUCUGAACGGGUAGAAAUCGUAUCUAGAGUGUAAAGGCAUAAGGAAGCUUGACUGUGAGACCUACAAGUCGAGCAGGGACGAAAGUCGGUCUUAGUGAUCUGACGGUGCUGAGUGGAAAGGCCGUCACUCAACGGAUAAAAGUUACUCUAAGGAUAACAGGCUGAUCUCCCCCAAGAGUUCACAUCGACGGGGAGGUUUGGCACCUCGAUGUCGGCUCAUCGCAUCCUGGGGCGGUAGUACGUCCCAAGGGUUGGGCUGUUCGCCCAUGAAAGCGGUACGCGAGCUGGGUUCAGAACGUCGUGAGACAGUUCGGUCCAUAUCCGGUGUAGGCGUUAGAAUAUUGAGAGGAGCCUUCUUUAGUACGAGAGGACCGAGAAGGACAUACCUCUGGUGUACCAGUUAUCGUGCCAACGGUAAACGCUGGGUAGCUAUGUAUGGAGAGGAUAACCGCUGAAAGCAUCUAAGUGGGAAGCCCACCUCAAGAUGAGUAUUCACAG
rnacentral:rRNA from 1 species